AUGUUGAAAUGAGAGUUAUAUACGGAUUUUACCUCCGAUAUUUUCAUAUGUAAAAUUCAUAUAUAAUGUUGACACGUUUAAGCGAAAAAUUUACCUAAGAAUAUAAUCCGUAUGUAAGCAUUUAAAAUUCAUAUGUAAUUAGAAGAUGCAUUACCUACCAAUAUUACAUACAAAAUUUUAAAAUAAAUUAUUAAAAUUAAUAAAAAAUAAAAGUGAAAGUGUAGGCUUUUGUUGUUUUGUGCCUCAAAGGUUCUUCAUUCUCAUUUUCCCUUCUUCUUUCUGAUUUUCACGAGCCUCAACCAAUCCCCCUCGUUCUCAUUUCCCCUUCUUCUUCUUCUCACCUUGAGUCCAUUUGCGUAUCACUCCCGCUCACUUUCACUCCUUGUCGCCAUUAUUGUUUCUCGUCAUUAGUCCAUCUAGGCGUUUUGGCAUUGUCGAUGACAGGAAGAG
rnacentral:lncRNA from 1 species